UACAGAGGGGGCGAGCGUUAUUCGGAAUUAUUGGGCGUAAAGAGCUCGUAGGCGGUUUGGCAAGUCGGGUGUGAAAUUUCGAGGCUCAACCUCGAAACGCCACACGAUACUGCCAUGACUGGAGUCCGGUAGAGGAGUGCGGAAUUCCUGGUGUAGCGGUGAAAUGCGCAGAUAUCAGGAGGAACACCAACGGCGAAGGCAGCACUCUGGGCCGGUACUGACGCUGAGGAGCGAAAGCGUGGGGAGCAAACAGG
rnacentral:rRNA from 1 species